rnacentral:rRNA from 1 species
UGCCAGCCGCCGCGGUAACACGGGGGGCGCAAGCGUUAUUCGGAAUUAUUGGGCGUAAAGGGCGCGUAGGCGGUCUUGUCGGUCAGGUGUGAAAGCCCGGGGCUCAACCCUGGAAGUGCACUUGAAACAGCAAGACUUGAGUACGGGAGAGGAAAGCGGAAUUCCUGGUGUAGAGGUGAAAUUCGUAGAUAUCAGGAGGAACACCGAUGGCGAAGGCAGCUUUCUGGACCGAUACUGACGCUGAGGCGCGAAGGCGUGGGUAGCGAACGGGAUUAGAUA